AGCAACCUAGAUUGGUUUAGUUAUGUCACUAAAUGUUCCACUCACAUUCCAUGGAUUGUAAACAAUACUUGAUUUCAUUUCUGUAAGAUGUUUUAGUAUGAGAAAUAACUUAAACCCUUAAUUUCAUUGCUAAAUUUGGUAGUAAACUCGAAGCCAGUCGGGCUCCGUGUGAGGUCGAGUUUGGAAAAUGAGAGCAGUGGCACUGAGGAUUCUGGUCACUCAUCAUCAAAACCUCUGAAGAGGAACUUCAAAGACGUUUACCUUUAACAAGCGCCAGUCCUAAAGGCCAUGGUGAAGAAGAAGAGAAAGCCUCAGGGGUACGAGAUGAAACUGAAACCAGCGAAGAAAAUGAUUAUCGCUUGAGCUUAAUAUUUCUGAUGGUUUUGGAUACCUUGAGUCAUGCAAUGUAGAGUUUCCAUUCGAAUUCUGGGCCUUAGAAGUUUCACUAGAAGUUAUUUGUAGUUGUCUUGAUGCUCGCACAAGAGAAUCGGAAGCUGAAGCUUAUCCAGCUUUA